AGCAGAGUAGAAUUUUGUGCGUUAAGUGCUGAGUGAACAGGGAGUUGUCAUUCGGACGAAAAGAUUUCUUGCGGUACAGAAUUCGCAUCCCGCUGCU
rnacentral:ncRNA from 24 species